GGUAUAUGCUUGUCUCAAAGACUAAGCCAUGCAAGUCUAAGUAUAAGUUAUUCUGAAGACGAAACUGCGAAUGGCUCGGUAAAACAGCAAUAAUUUCUUCGGUGAUGAGUUUACUCACGGAUAACCGUAGUAAUUCUAGAGCUAAUACGUGCUGAGAAAAGGUGGGGCUCACGCUCCAUCGUGCCGUUUAGAUAACAACACCAACAUUUGGUGAUUCAUAAUCGUCUUUCUGAUCGCCUCGUGUGACGCACCGUUCAAAUUUCUGACCUAUCAACUUUCGAUGGUAAGGUAGUGUCUUACCAUGGUGGCAACGGGUAACGGACCGUGGGUGCGGGACUCCGGAGAGGGAGCCUGAGAAACGGCUACCACAUCCAAGGAAGGCAGCAGGCGCGCAACUUGCCCAAUCCAGACUCUGGGAGGCAGUGACAAGAAAUAUCAAUAGGGGAUCCUAUGGGUCUUCUAAUUGGAACGAGAACAAGCUAAACAGCUUACCGAGAAUCCAGCAGAGGGCAAGUCUGGUGCCAGCAGCCGCGGUAAUUCCAGCUCUGUAAGCGUAUACCAAAGUUGUUGCAGUUAAAACGCUCGUAGUCGGAAUUUGGCAGUUCCGGAAGUGUGCACGUCGUGUGCGCACUUUGCAGGACUGCUUUUGUGGUCUUGCGUAGGAUGAGGCACUUUUAUUAGUGAACGUCCUCACGCAACACUCUUUACUGUGAGAAAAUCAGAGUGCUCAAGCAAGCAUUGCCGUGAUGUAUUAGCAUGGAGUAAUAGAAAUAGGACUUCGGUCUA
rnacentral:rRNA from 1 species